rnacentral:rRNA from 1 species
AUUGAACGCUGGCGGCAUGCCUUACACAUGCAAGUCGAACGGUAACGCGGGGCAACCUGGCGACGAGUGGCGAACGGGUGAGUAAUGUAUCGGAACGUGCCCAGUUGUGGGGGAUAACUGCUCGAAAGAGCAGCUAAUACCGCAUACGACCCGAGGGUGAAAGCGGGGGAUCGCAAGACCUCGCGCAAUUGGAGCGGCCGAUACCAGAUUAGGUUGUUGGUGGGGUAAAGGCUCACCAAGCCAACGAUCUGUAGCUGGUCUGAGAGGACGACCAGCCACACUGGGACUGAGACACGGCCCAGACUCCUACGGGAGGCAGCAGUGGGGAAUUUUGGACAAUGGACGCAAGUCUGAUCCAGCCAUGCCGCGUGCGGGAAGAAGGCCUUCGGGUUGUAAACCGCUUUUGUCAGGGAAGAAACGCUCUGGGUUAAUACCUCGGGGUAAUGACGGUACCUGAAGAAUAAGCACCGGCUAACUACGUGCCAGCAGCCGCCGUAACAC